CAGUAGCCACGGUAGUACGUAGGUGGCAAGCGUUGUCCGGAAUUAUUGGGCGUAAAGGGCUCGCAGGCGGUUUCUUAAGUCUGAUGUGAAAGCCCCCGGCCCAACCGGGGAGGGUCAUUGGAAACUGGGAAACUUGAGUGCAGAAGAGGAGAGUGGAAUUCCACGUGUAGCGGUGAAAUGCGUAGAGAUGUGGAGGAACACCAGUGGCGAAGGCGACUCUCUGGUCUGUAACUGACGCUGAGGAGGGAAAGCGUGGGGAGCGAACAGGAUUAGAUACCCCUGUAGUCCCUGUCUCUUAUAC
rnacentral:rRNA from 1 species